rnacentral:rRNA from 1 species
CCUACGGGAGGCAGCAGUGGGGGAUAUUGCACAAUGGGGGGAACCCUGAUGCAGCGACGCCGCGUGGGUGAAGAAGCGCCUCGGCGCGUAAAGCCCUGUCAGCAGGGAAGAAAAUGACGGUACCUGAAGAAGAAGCCCCGGCUAACUACGUGCCAGCAGCCGCGGUAAUACGUAGGGGGCAAGCGUUAUCCGGAUUUACUGGGUGGAAAGGGGGCGCAGACGGCGAUGCAAGCCAGGAGUGAAAGCCCGGGGCCCAACCCCGGGACUGCUCUUGGAACUGCGUGGCUGGAGUGCAGGAGGGGCAGGCGGAAUUCCUGGUGGAGCGGUGAAAUGCGUAGAUAUCAGGAGGAACACCGGUGGCGAAGGCGGCCUGCUGGACUGCAACUGACGUUGAGGCCCGAAAGCGUGGGGAGCAAACAGGAUUAGAUACCCCAGUAGUC